rnacentral:rRNA from 1 species
UGGGCAAUGGGCGAAAGCCUGACCCAGCAACGCCGCGUGAGGGAUGAAGUAUUUCGGUAUGUAAACCUCGAAAGAAUGGGAAGAAUAAAUGACGGUACCAUUUAUAAGCUCCGGCUAACUACGUGCCAGCAGCCGCGGUAAUACGUAGGGAGCAAGCGUUGUCCGGAUUUACUGGGUGUAAAGGGCGCGCAGGCGGGAUAAAAAGUCAGUGGUGAAAUCCUACAGCUUAACUGUAGAACUGCCUUUGAUACUUUUAUUCUUGAGUUCGGGAGAGAGAGACGGAAUUCCAGGUGUAGUUGUGAAAUACGUAGAUAUCUGGAAGAACACCAGUUGCGAAGGCGGUCUCUUGGUCCGACACUGACUCUGAGGCGCGAAAGCGUGGGGAG